rnacentral:rRNA from 1 species
UACGAAGGGGCUAGCGUUGCUCGGAAUCACUGGGCGUAAAGCGCACGUAGGCGGACUCUUAAGUCGGUGGUGAAAUCCUGGAGCUCAACUCCAGAACUGCCUUCGAUACUGAGAGUCUCGAGUCCGGGAGAGGUGAGUGGAACUGCGAAGUGUAGAGGUGAAAUUCGUAGAAUAUUCGCAAGAACACCAGUGGCGAAGGCGGCUCACUGGCCCGGUACUGACGCUGAGG